UAUUUUUUAUUGAUAAGAGAUCGUUGCUUAUCUGCGUCAAACUCCAUACCGCGAGGAUACCAUAAAAUGUUUUUUUCAUAUUUUAAAAAAAAAACGUACGUGCGUCUGAGAAGUAACGGUUAUGUAGUCGCGUUUUAGUCUAUUUGUAAGGGUAUUUCAACGUCACAGACUCUUGUUUCACUCUGUUUACUACAGCUAAAUCUACAUUGGAGCGCAUAUACGUUACAAGACAGCCAAACACUACAGUACAAGAUACAGCUGUCUAUGAGGACCUUGAACACACUCGAGGCGACGAAUCGAGUACUGAGGCCAGUGAAACCAGUAAUAAUCCCUCACUAGAAACCAGAACGAUGAACUUAAAGUUUAUGAAAAUACAACUCAGAUUAACGAAUGAUGGACAUAUAUUUAAUACAGUCGUUGUAGUUUUGAAGCUGGUAUUCUGUAGACUGUAUGAUACGUCUUAAUUCAUCAUCGGAAUCGUCAUCAUAAUCGUAAUCAUCUGUAGGGCCAUAAGCGUACGAGACGGGACGCAAUGCCCCACAGUGCUGGAGCAAAUUAUCACAUUCGGGUAAAAACGAUAGAGAAAUUCGGGCAAAAUUAGUUGGCCUAAAACCUUUUUACCAUAUAUUUCCAUCAUUCUACCCACAAUAUUGGUUGUAAUCCAUGCAAAAAUGCAUAGUUAUUCGUUAUCAAUCCUAUUUAGCUGUUUAGCAGUAUUGCUAAUAUGAAUAAAUGUUGUUA